rfam:Enterococcus gilvus ATCC BAA-350 genomic scaffold acEQl-supercont1.8, whole genome shotgun sequence.
GUUUUUAUGGUAUAAUUAUAGGGUAGUGAAGUUUGUGACGGUGGCUAAUCCUAUUAAAAAGGGGUGACGCCUAUGUUAUUGUUCUUAGGUUUUAUCCCUAGAAAGGAAUAACCUUGACUGUUUAUCAAGCAUUAAUGUUUGCGGUAGCAUUCGCAACAUUAAUCGUGACGAUCAGUAAUAAAGA